GACGUAGGUGGCGAACGUUAUCCGGAAUUAUUGGGCGUAAAGGGUGCGUAGAUGGCCUGAUAAGUUAGCAGUGGGAAAUCGAGGCUCAACCUCGUGGAAGCUGGUAAUACUGUCAGGCUCGAGUGCAGGAGAGGUUAACGGAACUCCAUGUGGAGCGGUAAAAUGUGUAGAUAUAUGGAAGAACACCAAUAACGGCGAAGGCAGUUAAACUAUUUCUGUUACUGACAUUGAGGCACGAAAGCGUGGGGAGCAAAACGG
rnacentral:rRNA from 1 species